rnacentral:lncRNA from 1 species
GAGGUGCUAAAUUACUGUUACAGCACUGUAGCACACUGUAGCAUUUCGUUUGUAUUUGUGAAUUAUUGUCCAAAUAUUGACUAAUUAGGCUCAAAAGAUUCGUCUCGCAAAGUACAACAAAACUGUGCAAUUAGUUUUUAAUUUCAUCUACAUUUAGUACUCCAUGCAUGUACCGUAAGUUUGAUGUGAUGGGGAAUCUUCUUUUUGCAUAGUGUCAAAGUUGGGA